UACGGAAGGCAGCAGUGGGGAAUAUUGCACAAUGGGCGCAAGCCUGAUGCAGCCAUGCCGCGUGUAUGAAAAAGGCCUUCGGGUUGUAAAGUACUUUCAGUCGUGAGGAAGGUGUUAAGGUUAAUAACCUUAGCAAUUGACGUUAGCGACAGAAGAAGCACCGGCUAACUCCGUGCCAGCAGCCGCGGUAAUACGGAGGGUGCGAGCGUUAAUCGGAAUUACUGGGCGUAAAGGGCACGCAGGCGGUUAAUUAAGUUGGAUGUGAAAUCCCCGGGCUUAACCUGGGAAUGGCAUUCAAGACUGGUUAGCUAGAGUCUUGUAGAGGGGGGUAGAAUUCCAUGUGUAGCGGUGAAAUGCGUAGAGAUGUGGAGGAAUACCGGUGGCGAAGGCGGCCCCUGGACAAAGACUGACGCUCAUGUGCGAAAGCGUGGGGAGCAAACAGGGAUUAGAUACCCG
rnacentral:rRNA from 1 species